GGAACAUUUGAUUGGCCAGAUUAUUUGACAAAAAAGAAGGUGGGGAAAGACCCGAAAGAAUUCAGGUGUGUCUGACUUGCGGUUAGAACUACCCACUGAAAUGCAUAGAAUUGUAUAAAAUAUUGUAUAGAAGAAAAGAGGCUGUAUCAAACUACCGAUAUUUAAUAUUUUUUUUUAAUUUUGCAAGAUUCGUACAUAUACAAUAUUUUAAUACUAGUGUUUCCAAAGAUGGUUUAUUCAAGUUUUUCAUGGCAAUGCAGUGUUGGUGAUACAGAAUGAGACUUGAGUUUAAAAUAUGUCUGCCUUGAGCAAGUGCAGGUCUGUGUCCCUCCUGACCGAAUCAUCUGACGAGCAUAAACAAAUAACCACUAAACCUACUGCUGCCCCUCGUCAGCGGAGUCCAAUGACAUAUCUAGCCCUUUAUCAUUCAUUACACAAUACAACUGAGAUCGGCUGUUUUAAUAACGGUGUGUGGAUUUGUGGGGGGUCGUCAGAAGGCAGGGUCAGGACACAAGCUGCCAUGAAAACUUAUUGGUGUUCCUUAAAAAGAAAAAGCAACAAAUCCAACAUUUGGAACAGACGGCAUCUUGAGGAGAGAAGAAGAAAGUCAAUAAGAAAUAAACUACAACGUCGUCUCCAAGUCCUGUCAACAGCUGAGAACAGUAGUUAGGCCCAGGCGAUGGGCAUCACCAGCAUUUAAAGAGGUGAAGAAACACCUUGACUUACAAUCCAGGGCGAGAAGCCCACAGACAAAACCCCCGAAAAAUGGGGUCAUACUUAAUUAGAGAGCAUCCUGAACUUGAAUCAGCCUGGAUUACUCGGGAGAAAUGAGCAGUAUUCAAUCAAAUAUGUCAUGAUAACAAAAAACUCCAAGUCCCAUAAGCAAGUUGAUAAGCCCUCAGCUCCAAGCUAGUGCCACUGGAAGCAAACCCUGUCACUUGUUUCUCUAGAUCUAACUCUGGACAAUGCAAAAUUGAAGAAACAUGGCGGUUUGAUUACAACAUAAU